rnacentral:rRNA from 1 species
ACGAACGCUGGCGGCAGGCCUAACACAUGCAAGUCGAGCGCACCCUUCGGGGUGAGCGGCGGACGGGUGAGUAACGCGUGGGAACGUGCCCUUCUCUGCGGAAUAGCCUCGGGAAACUGAGAGUAAUACCGCAUACGCCCUUUGGGGGAAAGAUUUAUCGGAGAAGGAUCGGCCCGCGUUGGAUUAGGUAGUUGGUGGGGUAAUGGCCCACCAAGCCGACGAUCCAUAGCUGGUUUGAGAGGAUGAUCAGCCACACUGGGACUGAGACACGGCCCAGACUCCUACGGGAGGCAGCAGUGGGGAAUCUUAGACAAUGGGGGCAACCCUGAUCUAGCCAUGCCGCGUGAGUGAUGAAGGCCUUAGGGUUGUAAAGCUCUUUCAGCUGGGUAGAUAAUGACGGUACCAGCAGAAGAAGCCCCGGCUAACUCCGUG